rnacentral:misc_RNA from 1 species
CAGUUCCGUACCGUUUAGUUCUGUCUUCCAUUAUAAAUCCUAGCAGCAGAGAUUACAUGUGAAGCAAAGCAAAAAAAAAAAAAAGAAAAGAGGAAAAGGAAAAAAAAAAUUAAUAAGUAUAAACGUUAAUGAAAUAUUCAAUCAUGAGUUUGUGCAUGUCCUUGGCAUCUCAAAAAUCCCACAGGAAACAUUUACCAGAUAAAGAAUCUUGUAAAGAAACCUUUACAAAUGGGAGUGUAGAUACACCUAACCUAUCCAGUAAUAAUACAUUCAUUAUGAGUAUACAUUCAAAUCAGUUUUAUACAGUGGAAGUUGGUGAUUCUACAUUCACAAUCCUCAAACGGUACCAGAACCUUAAGCCAAUAGGAUCGGGUGCUCAGGGUAUAGUAUGUGCUGCCAUUGACAAUGUGAAACAAAUAAGUGUUGCAAUCAAGAAGCUAAGUAGGCCAUUCCAAAAUGUCACACAUGCUAAACGGGCCUAUCGAGAGUUUGUCCUUAUGAAACUAGUUAAUCACAAAAAUAUUAUAGGUCUCUUAAAUGCAUUCACACCACAGAAAACUUUAGAGGAUUUUCAAGAUGUGUACCUUGUUAUGGAACUAAUGGAUGCAAACCUGUGUCAGGUCAUACAGAUGGAUUUAGAUCAUGAAAGAAUGUCAUAUCUUCUCUAUCAAAUGCUAUGUGGAAUUAAGCAUUUGCAUUCAGCAGGGAUUAUCCACAGAGAUUUAAAGCCCAGUAACAUAGUGGUGAAAGCAGAUUGUACUCUGAAGAUUCUAGAUUUUGGUUUGGCACGGACAGCAGGUACUGGUUUUAUGAUGACACCGUAUGUAGUAACAAGAUAUUACCGUGCACCAGAAGUCAUUCUUGGUAUGGGUUAUAAAGAAAAUGUUGAUAUCUGGUCAGUUGGCUGUAUUAUGGCUGAGUUGAUACGAGGUGGUGUACUAUUCCCUGGCACUGAUCAUAUAGAUCAAUGGAAUAAAAUAAUCCAACAGUUAGGAACGCCGUCUCAAGACUUUAUGUGUAGAUUACAGCCUACAGUUCGGAGCUACGUCGAGAACCGUCCCCGGUUUACAGGCUACACCUUUGAUAUUUUGUUUGCAGACUGUAUGUUCCCCUCAGAUAGCCGCGAACACCAAGGGCUGCAGGCUUCCGUGGCUAGAGAUUUACUGUCCAAGAUGCUGGUUGUUGAUCCUGAACGAAGGAUAUCCGUUGAUGAGGCAUUGAUGCACCCUUACAUCAAUGUUUGGUACGAUGAAGGUGAAGUAAAUGCGCCUGCUCCUGGACCUUACGACCACUCUGUAGAUGAGAGAGAACACUCUGUAGAGGAAUGGAAAGAACUUAUAUAUGAUGAAGUAAAAAAAUAUGAAAACAAAGAUAAUCAAAUAACAAAUGCUAUGCAAAAUCUCUCAGUGUAGUUUGGGAAGAACCUACCACUGCCACAGCAUGAAGACAGGCAAGCAGAGAUCAUAUCGAUGGACCAACAAAUGACUCUGCCCCUAAGGACAGUGUAGCAACAGGCUCUCCAGGUCAGAACAGGCAUCGGUGACUGCUGUGUAUAUAUAUAUAUAUAUAUAUAUGUGUGUGUAUGUGUGUAUAUAUAUAUAUAUGUGUAUAUAUAUAUAUAUACACACACACACACACUCACAGACACUCUCUUUCUCUCACACACAUACACAAAUAUAUAUAUACACACACACAUACAAACAUACACAAUGUAAAAAUACUACAGGCAUAAUUUAUUUGGGCUGACGAGCUGUUGCCUCCACCACCACCACUACCAUUACUACUACUUCUACUACUACUCUUACUACUACUACUACUACUACCACCUGUGCUGCACACUACUACUUCUACUUCGACUACUAUUAUUACUACUACUAUAUUACUACUACUACUAUGUUAGAGGUUGUCCCUCCCCAUCACCACCACACUACUACCACCACGACCACCCUACUCUUACUGCAACCACUAAUCCCUCUGUAGCCUUUGACAUCCUUUUUGUCACCACUCAUUGUCUCUGUUAUUACUAUUAUUGUUGUCUUUCUUCCUCUUUUUACUGUAAACUGCCACCUACCUACCUACCUACUUAUGUACAGCUGUGAAGGAAUCAUCAUCAUCAUCAUCUGUGAGAAGACAUCUAACAAGAACAAAAACAAGGGAACUGUUAUGUGGUCACUUACUAGAAGCAACAGCCAAGUCCCCUUUUGAUAAAGAGAACAAUGCAUAACCUUUAUAUCAUCACUUAAUA